rnacentral:rRNA from 1 species
AUGGAAUUAAUCAAUAACACUGCUAAAGCUCAUGGGGGCGUAUCCGUAUUUGGUGGAGUAGGGGAACGGACUCAUGAAGGAAAUGAUCUUUAUGUGGAAAUGAAAGAAUCCGGAGUAAUUAAUAAAAAUAUUGAGGAAUCAAAGGUAGCUCUAGUCUAUGGCCAAAUGAAUGAACCACCGGGAGCUCGUAUGAGAGUUGGCUUAACUACCUUAACUAUGGCGGAAUAUUUCCGAGAUGUUCUUCCCCUUCCCCUUUCCCCGAACUAA